rnacentral:tRNA from 1 species
GGAGGUUUAGCUCAGUGGUAGAGUGCUUGCCUAGCAAGCGCAAGGCCCUGGGUUCAGUCCCCAGCUCCG